rnacentral:lncRNA from 1 species
UGGUAUGGCCUUCCAAACAACAAAUGCCACAUAGUGAAGCUUUUGCAUUACCUCUAGUCAUCAAUUUACUUACCAUAGCCAUUAAGUUAGCUAACUGAGCCUCCAUCAUACUCGACUGGCCCUCAUCCAUUCAUUUACCCAAAUCGGACCUCCUGAGACCGAAUUGUUGUGUAUUCUACGCCAUAUUAGCAAUCAAAUUUCGGGCUUGCUCCGGGGUUUUAUCAACCAAUGCACCUCCACUCGUUGCAUAAAUCAUUCAUCGAUCUUGUGGCAUCAACCCCUCAUAAAAAUAUUGUACUAAAAGCUGUUCACUAAUCUGAUGUUGUGGACAACUCGCACAUAGCCGUUUAAAUCUUUCCCAGUACUCGUAUAAUGACUCACAUACCAGUUGCUUAAUUCCACAAAUUUCCUUCCUGAUUGACCCUAUUCUCGAUGCUGGAAAGAACUUCUCAAGAAAAGCUUUGUGCAACCCUGUCCACGUCGUAAAUGAACCUGGCGGCAUAUAAUAUAACCAGUCCUUCGCCAACCCUAGUAGCGAGAAAGGAAAAGCUCAGAGCUUGAUUUGUUCCUCUUCAAUGCCAUCUGGCUGCAUAGUCAAACAAGUUAUUAUAAAUUCAUUAACAUGACGGUAAGGGUCCUCACCUGGUAGUCCAUUGAAUUUCGGCAACAAGUUCAGGAAUCCCAAAUUAAGCUUUAAUGGCCUAUCAAUGGCAGGAUACGUGAUAGAUGGUGGUUGCCCAGCCAAGUUGGGAGCGGCCAAUUGCUUCAAGGUCUGGCUAGCCAUGUUGGAAUCUUCUGAAACGUGAGGCUCAAUGUGGGGGUUGGAAUGAUCGGCGUGCCGAUCAAUGAUGUUAUCAGGGUCUUUCGAUGUUCGUCUUCCACUCCUUAAUAACAUAUACUAAAGGCUAAUCUACCUGCAUAAUCAAAAACAAGAAAAACAAAGUAAGUUAUCAAAAUCAAAUAGAUUUGACUACGUCACUUCCCCGGCAACGGCGCCAAAAUUUGGUAACUGUCGUUUACGUCUGCCAAAUUAAACUCACAUUCUUAACCUACAUUAACUUGUAAUAUAGGGUAAAUAGGGAAUCGUCCCACGAGGAAGCUUGCAACAAAUCUAUUCGAAGCGAUUUAAAAUUAAAGUAAUGUAAAAAGCAUGCGAAACUAAAGAGAGGAAAAAUGGGGGAAGUUUAUGUUUUACAAUUGCUAAAAUUAGUCUCAAGUAAUAAAUAAACUUUGGCUCGAAUUAAAACUGCUGAGGAGAAAAUAUCAAGAGAAGAAUAAUGCUUAGUUAUUGACGCCUUAAUCCACUAAGCACAAGUCCUUUGCAACCUGAAAUUAAGCUAAGAAAUGAAAUUAGCAGCAAGGCUGAAAAAUCACUUACGAAGUGACUUCCUAUCCCUAGUAAAUUCUUCAAUUAGAGAACGUCCAUGAUUGAAAUUUACCUUUUGUGUUGACUUGUUAAAGAUUUUUUAGAGAUUUAGAGACUUCGCCUAGCCUUAACCAAAGAAAAUCCACCAGCGGCUUCUAAGAUUAAAUCUGAAGUUGUCUUAAUUUGCUACGGCCAAUUAAUUAUCACUAAUUCUAAGCUUAAUUGAGAAAUUCGAUUCCUCAAUUUGCACUUAAAUUAUUAUAAGAAAAAUUCCCAAUUUAAUUAGGUGAUCACUACAAUUGAAUUGGAAGAAAAAAAUUCUUUGGAAGAUAAAAUCAGACAAUUCAAGAAUGCCAAUUUGAUUUUAGAACAAAAUAAAUUUUCAAUUCACUUGUGCUCGGUUUCAUAAGUGUCUAACUAAGCGUAAAUAAACUAGCCACUCAUAGCUAGUAAAACAGAACACAAAUCCAUUGAAAAAAACAUGAAUUACAAACUGAUUCUUGGAAGGCUAAGCUCUUCAAGUCGUCCAAUUUCCCUUCUCCCAAUUAGCCGAAUUUACUAGCUGCUACUCUAGCUCCUUGAUCGGAUUUACUGGUCCAAUUUUAGAAAAUUCUGCUUGCUUGAAUCACGCCUUUCCUAUGCUACUGUAUGUUUUUCUCUGUUUCUUCUCUCCUUUCCAGCUGCUGAUCUUCUCUAUUUAUGGGAUAAUAUCCUCCAAUCAAUUCAAAAAUUAAAAUCAAUCUUAUCCCCCGUUUCCUAGCUGAACCCGUCGCAUGAAAAUAGCUUCAGCUUAGUAGAGUUUUAAUUUAACUCUUCAAAGCUGAUUUGGCUUCUUUAAUUAGAUUAUAGUCGGCCACCGCUUAGCAAGAAGGAAAUAAUAAUUCCCCUGCUAAUUUUGUCGCAUGUUUGGCUUCUAAUUGGACUGACUGCUCCUCCAUUGUUAAUUUAAUUCCGUCAACCAGCAUAUGACCAUCAUUCAGCAGCUUAUUUAUGCGGAUUAACUUCCAAAUUGAAUUUAUACGGGCAACAACCUGCACAUGAAAUAAAUUUAAAUUAAAUUGUUGAAUUGGAGUGCAAGUAAAUUAUUACGGCAUAAAAUGUCUCUAAUCAAUUUAGGCUGAAUUAUAACUUAAUUAACCAAAUAUUAAUCAACAAUUUAAAUAAUUUAAUUGAAUAAGUUAAGCUCAAAAUUGAACUUAACAAGAGCCUCAGGCACCAUCGACACCUAGGCGCUCGGAUGUCGGGGAGCCUGGGACACCAUCGGCAAACUAGGCCCUUGGUCGUACGGGAGCCUCGGGCACCAUCGGUACCUCGGUGCUUGGAUGUGCAGGUGCCUCGGGCACCAUCGAUAAAAUAGGCCAUUGGUUGUGCAAGAGCCUCGGCCACCAUCGGGACCUAGGUGCUUGGAUGUGCGAGAGCCUCGGACACCAUCGACAAACGAAGCCUUUGGUUGUGCGGGAGCCUCGGGCACCAUCGGUAACCUAGGCCCUUGGUCGUGCGAGAGCCUCAGGCACCAUCGGCAUCUGGGCGCUCGGAUCUGCGGGAGCGUCGGACACCAUCGGGAAACUAGGUCCUUGGUCGUGUGGGAGCCUCGAGCACCAUCGGAACCUCAGUGCUAUGAUGUGUGGGAGCCUCAGACAAUGUCGGCAUCCUAGGCCCUUGGUCGAGCGGGAGCCUUGAGCACCAUCAACACCUUGGUGCUUGGAUUUGCGAGAACCUCGGACACCAUCAAAAACCUAGGCCGUUGGUUGUGUGAGAGCCUCAGGUACCAUCGGCAAACUAGGCCUUUGGUCGUGCAGGAGUCUCGGGCACAUUCGGCACCUUGGUGCUUGGAUGUGCGGAAGCCUUGGGCACCAUCGACAAAACAGGCACUUCGUCGUGUGAGAGCCUCGGCCACCAUCGAAACCUAAGUGCUUGGAUGUCCGGGAGCCUCGGACACCAUCGGCAAACUAGGCCCUUCGUCGUGUGAGAGCCUCGGGCACCAUCGACUACCUAGGCUCUUGGUCGUGCGAGAGUCUUGGGCACCAUCGGCACCUGGGCGCUCAGAUGUACGGGAGCAUCAGACACCAUCGGCAAACUAGGCCCUUGUUCAUGCGGGAGCCUCGGGCACCAUCAGCACCUCGGUGCUAUGAUGUGCAAGAGCAUCGAACAAUGUCACAAUCCUCGGCCCUUGGUCGUGCUGAAGCCUCGAGCACCAUCGACACCUUGGUGCUUGGAUGUGCGGGAACCUCGGACACAAUCAGAAACCUAGGUGAUUGGAUGUGCGGAAGCCUCGGGCACUACCGGCAAACUAGGCCCUUGGUCAUGCGGGAGCCACGGGCACCAUCGGCAGAAUAGGCCUUUGGUCGUACGAGAACCUCGGCCACCAUUGGGACCUUGGUGCUUGGAUGUACGGGAGCCUCAGACACCAUCAACAAACUAUGCCCUUGGUUGUGCAGGAGCCUCGGGCACUAUCGGUAACCUAGGCCCUUGGUCGUGCGAGAGCCUCGGGCACCAUCGGCACCUGGGUACUUAGAUGUGUGGGAGCGUCGGACACCAUCAGAAAACUAGGCCCUUGGUCGUGUGGGAGCCUCGGGCACCAUCGGCACCUCAGUGCUAUGAUGUGCGGGAGCCUCGAACAAUGUCGGCAUCCUAGGCCUUUGGUCGUAUGGGAGCCUCGAGCACCAUCGACAACUUGGUGCUUGGAUGUGAGGGAACCUCGGACACCAUCGACAACCUAGGCCCUUGGUCUUACGAGGGCCUUGGGCACCAUCGGCAAACUAUGCCCUUGGUCAUGCGAGAGCCUCGGGCACCAUCAGCACCUCGGUACUUGGAUGUGCGGGAGCCUCGAGCACCAUCGGCAAAAUAGGCCUUUGGUUGUGCGAGAGCCUCGGCCACCAUCAGGACCUAGGUGCUCGGAUGUGCGAGAGGCUCGGACACCAUCAGCAAACUAGGCCCUUGGUCGUGCGGGAGCCUCGGGCACCAUCGGCAACCGAGGCCCUUGGUCGUGCGAAGGCUUCGGGCACCAUCGACACCUGGGUGCUCAGAUGUGCGGGAGUGUCGGACACUAUCGGCAAACUAGGCCCUUGGUCGUACGGGAACCUCAGGCACCAUCGGUACCUCGGUGCUAUGAUGUGCGGGAGCCUCAGACAAUGUCGGCAUCCUAGGCCCUUGGUCGUGUGGGAGCCUCGAGUACCAUCGACACCGUGGUGCUUGGAUGUGCAGGAACCUCGGACACCAUCGGCAACCUAGGCCCUUAGUCGUGCGAGAGCCUCGGACACCAUCGGUACCUAGGUACUCGGAUGUGCGGGAGCCUCGGACACCAUCAGCAAACUAAGGUCGGGGUAUUGAUUUUCCUGCUGGCCAAGACAAUGCCCAUAGAAAUGUAGCUAACGACUCCAGGACCAAGUUCCCUAUAUCGGGCAUCCAUCACGUUUAGGGACGCCUUGUGCAUCCCAAGUCGGUGACAACACGGUAACGGCAUCGGGGGGUGUAAGUGGAGAUUGUAGGCUCGGUCUUGGCUCGACCAAGUCCCAGUGGGAUUCUACCCCUCGUUGUUCUCGUGCCAAGCGAUUGUGGUGCACCCUCGUUCGUUGUUCCUCCUGCUCCCCUACCAUUCGAUUGGUUGGGUGGGUUGUUGGGCGGUGUGCGCGGG